UUGUAAUUUUUUGUACAAAAAAAUAUAAAUAGAAUGAUGAUCCAAAAACUAAGUAUAGUUGCAAAUGCUCCUUUUCUUCUUCAAUUAAGUCAAGCCAAGCCAAAAUGUAAAAGCCUUUCACUUAUUAAUUACGCGAAACAUAGUUUUAAGCCUCCCACUAGAUAGGGCGGCCAGCAUAGACAUAAAAUAACUAGCAACCACCGUUGGCGGAUUUAGAGGCUGUAGGGGUUCACC
rnacentral:lncRNA from 1 species